rnacentral:rRNA from 1 species
UACGUAGGGGGCAAGCGUUGUCCGGAAUUAUUGGGCGUAAAGAGCGCGUAGGCGGUCCGAUAAGUCGGCUGUGAAAGUCCAGGGCUCAACCCUGGAAAGCCGGCCGAUACUGCCGUGACUUGAGUACGGUAGGGGGAGUGUGGAAUUCCCGGUGUAGCGGUGAAAUGCGCAGAGAUCGGGAGGAACACCCGUAGCGAAGGCGGCACUCUGGGCCGAUACUGACGCUGAGGAGCGAAAGCGUGGGGAGCGAACAGG